rnacentral:tRNA from 1 species
GGCCUUGGAGUGUUACACGCGGGAUUGCAACUCCCGAGAAGCAGAGAGUUCUGCCGGGGCUU